rnacentral:piRNA from 1 species
UUAUUUAUUAUUUACUUUUGAGACAGGGUC